GACGAACGCUGGCGGCGUGCUUAACACAUGCAAGUCGAACGGAAAGGCCCUGCUUUUGUGGGGUGCUCGAGUGGCGAACGGGUGAGUAACACGUGAGUAACCUGCCCUUGACUUUGGGAUAACUUCAGGAAACUGGGGCUAAUACCGGAUAGGAGCUCCUGCUGCAUGGUGGGGGUUGGAAAGUUUCGGCGGUUGGGGAUGGACUCGCGGCUUAUCAGCUUGUUGGUGGGGUAGUGGCUUACCAAGGCUUUGACGGGUAGCGGGCCUGAGAGGGUGACCGGCCACAUCGGGACUGAGAUACGGCCCAGACUCCUACGGGAGGCAGCAGUGGGGAAUAUUGCACAAUGGGCGGAAGCCUGAUGCAGCAACGCCGCGUGCGGGAUGACGGCCUUCGGGUUGUAAACCGCUUUCGCCUGUGACGAAGCGUGAGUGACGGUAAUGGGUAAAGAAGCACCGGCUAACUACGUG
rnacentral:rRNA from 1 species